UACGUAGGCACCAAGCGUUGUCCGGAUUUAUUGGGCGUAAAGAGCUCGUAGGCGGUUCAGUAAGUCAGGUGUGAAAUCUUUGGGCUUAACCCAAAGCGUGCACUUGAUACUGCUGUGAUUUGAGUUCGGUAGGGGAGUGGGGAAUUCCUAGUGUAGCGGUGAAAUGCGCAGAUAUUAGGAGGAACACCGGUGGCGAAGGCGCCACUCUGGGCCGAAACUGACGCUGAGGAGCGAAAGCGUGGGUAGCAAACAGG
rnacentral:rRNA from 1 species